rnacentral:rRNA from 1 species
UACGAAGGGUGCAAACGUUGCUCGGAAUUAUUGGGCGUAAAGCGCACGUAGGCGGCAUUGCAAGUCCCAUGUGAAAUCCCUCGGCUUAACCGGGGAACUGCGUCCGAUACUGGAUGACUUGAGUUCGGGAGAGGGAUGCGGAAUUCCAGGUGUAGCGGUGAAAUGCGUAGAUAUCUGGAGGAACACCUGCGGCGAAGGCGGGUUGCUGGGCUGACACUGACGCUGAGGCGCGAAAGCUAGGGGAGCGAACGGG